UUUGUUUUCCAAAAGACAUACAUUCUCGAAGAACGAUCCUACAUUAUUUCAAAAGUGAUAUCAAGUGCGAAACCUUAAAAUGGAAAAUACAACACAGCAAGAUAUUUAAAAGAUUUAUAGAGUUUGUGAUUUACAUUUUUGUAAUCAAGAUCGUACCUGGAAUAAAAAGAGUUUUAGAAGUUAAUUCUAAAGUUUUUAUAUACACCAGUUCAUAUGGAUGAUCAACCUACUGGUAAUUUGGUGUCCGGUGAUGUCGAUCCAGGUACAAACCCUGUAUUUAAAGACAAACAUUUGUUGUAGAACUUGUUGGUGGACCACUCUCUCGUUGGUAUUAGACAUGUACUGUUACCUGAGAUAUAAGCAGUAACUGAAAAGGAGAAAGGAUCAGAUAAUCCUAAUCAGGAAUCUUCCAGAGUGCAGAUGAUGCAGUUUUUGUGAGUGAGGUAUAAGGUCUGUCUCUUGUAAGACCUCUUUUAAGAAUUUAACCCAGGCAGUUGUUUACAACCAAGUUAGAUCUCAAGCAUAGCAAAGGAAUCGUCCAACCUGUGAAUUCAGUUUAAUUACUGAGAUCAAGGAUGAUGAAACAUUCAUUAUGAUUAUACAGAGCUACAAAGAGUCAUGUUGAGAAUCCAAAUUAUCAUAAUGAAUUGAGACGAGACAACACCUGGGUGGAAAUUGAGGAAAAAUGCAGAUAAAAGGCAUUUUUAUAUUAACGUUAUGAAUCCAAUAUUUUUAUCAAAUCGUCACAUAGAUAAUAUUUCUCUACGCAUAAUACUAAAAUUAAAAAGGUCAGGUUAAAACA
rnacentral:lncRNA from 1 species